rnacentral:misc_RNA from 1 species
GAUGAAGAACGUAGCGAAAUGCGAUAAGUAAUGUGAAUUGCAGAAUUCAGUGAAUCAUCGAAUCUUUGAACGCACAUUGCGCCCGCCAGUAUUCUGGCGGGCAUGCCUGUCCGAGCGUCAUUUCAACCCUCGAACCCCUCCGGGGGGUCGGCGUUGGGGAUCGGCACUUACCUGCCGGCCCCGAAAUACAGUGGCGGUCUCGCCGCAGCCUCUCCUGCGCAGUAGUUUGCACACUCGCACCGGGAGCGCGGCGCGUCCACGGCCGUAAAACAACCCAAACUUCUGAAAUGUUGACCUCGGAUCAGGUAGGAAUACCCGCUGAACUUAAGCAUAUCAAUAAGGGAGGA